UUUUUUCCACCGGAGCUUGCUCCACCGGAAAAAGUGGAGUGGCUAUCGCUUGAGUAUCACGUGUGUAUCCUGUUCAUCAGAUGGUGAUAACACUUGGAAACAGGUGCUAAUACCGUAUAACAAUCGAAACCGCAUGGUUGUGAUUUGAAAGGCGCUUUCGGGUGUCGCUGAUGGAUGGACCCGCGGUGCAUUAGCUAGUUGGUGAGGUAACGGCUCACCAAGGCCACGAUGCAUAGCCGACCUGAGAGGGUGAUCGGCCACAUUGGGACUGAGACACGGCCCAAACUCCUACGGGAGGCAGCAGUAGGGAAUCUUCGGCAAUGGACGAAAGUCUGACCGAGCAACGCCGCGUGAGUGAAGAAGGUUUUCGGAUCGUAAAACUCUGUUGUUAGAGAAGAACAAGGAUGAGAGUAACUGUUCAUCCCUUGACGGUAUCUAACCAGAAAGCCACGGCUAACUACGUGCCAGCAGCCGCGGUAAUACGUAGGUGGCAAGCGUUGUCCGGAUUUAUUGGGCGUAAAGCGAGCGCAGGCGGUUUCUUAAGUCUGAUGUGAAAGCCCCCGGCUCAACCGGGGAGGGUCAUUGGAAACUGGGAGACUUGAGUGCAGAAGAGGAGAGUGGAAUUCCAUGUGUAGCGGUGAAAUGCGUAGAUAUAUGGAGGAACACCAGUGGCGAAGGCGGCUCUCUGGUCUGUAACUGACGCUGAGGCUCGAAAGCGUGGGGAGCAAACAGGAUUAGAUACCCUGGUAGUCCACGCCGUAAACGAUGAGUGCUAAGUGUUGGAGGGUUUCCGCCCUUCAGUGCUGCAGCUAACGCAUUAAGCACUCCGCCUGGAUCCCCCACC
rnacentral:rRNA from 1 species